AGAGAGAGACAUGCGCGCAUAUCAAUAAGCGGAGGAAAAGAAACUAACAAGGAUUCCCCUAGUAACGGCGAGUGAAGCGGGAAGAGCUCAAAUUUGAAAUCUUAAAGGGUUUCCCUUUACGAAUUGUAGUUUAAAGAAGUGUUUUCUGUUGAGGUUUUGGUAAAAGUUCUUUGGAAUAGGACAUCAUAGAGGGUGAGAAUCCCGUAUUUGACCUUUACUUUCAACUUUGUGAUACACUUUCAAAGAGUCGGAUUGUUUGGGAAUGCAGUCCAAAAUGGGUGGUAAAUUUCAUCCUAAAGCUAAAUAUUGGCGAGAGACCGAUAGCGAACAAGUACCGUGAGGGAAAGAUGAAAAGAACUUUGAAAAGAGAGUUAAACAGUACGUGAAAUAGUCAAAAGGGAAGCGUUUGACACCAGUGUUGUUUUUCUGAAAAUCAAUUAAAGAACUGUUUAUGCUAAGUUGUUUAGACUUUAUCAGCUAACUGUUUAGUUUUGAGCUUUUCUUUAAUGCACUUUUCAGUCAACAAGUCAACAUCAAUUUCUUUUGCUGUAAAAAAGCUUGAGGAAGGUGGCUUGAGAUUCGUCUUAAGUGUUUAUAGCCUCUUGCCUAUGCAGUCGGAGAGAUUGAGGUCUGCAGCGUAGAUCCUUCGGGGCUAAAUGCAUUUGUGCUAAGUUAUAGCAUUUUCAUAGACAACUUGUUGACUAUGAUUUGUCUUGUAGCUUACUCGCUUAUGUUAUUUUACCUACGCUUAGGAUGUUGAGCGCAUGUCUCUCUCU
rnacentral:rRNA from 1 species